GUAUCCUUCUUCCACCAGGAGGAAGAAGAACUGUGUCUCUGAAGUUUGGGAAGUAUACGUAGACAUGGAGUCUGGCCUUGAGCUUUCUGUAGUAGAAAGGCCCAUGUCAGCAGCCCUUAAAGGGACAGGGUGAGGUGUACUCGGGGGAAAGAUGGUAGUAACCAUACUCCUCCCAAUUUUCCGUGAUACACCACAGUGUAAAAGAGGACCCCAGUGGUUUCCACGGCUACACAGAAAAUUCAUGGAGGGUAGCAGAAGAAGAUGAGCCAUGGAGCUGCCAGGUGGCUGCCAGUCCAAUCUUUUAAGGUUCAAUUUAGGGAAAAGGACUUUUUCUCAGUAAGCCCUGAUACCUUGAUGUGAGAAGGCCAAGAAGAAGCCUAUAGAGAUGCCCACAAGAGGAGACUAAAGCUGAGAGAAACUGAGGCCCCUGGCCCUAGAGCUUUCACUGAGCUCCAGCUGACAACCAUCAUCAAAUCACCAGCCAUGUGACUGUGCCAUGAUGGGAGGGAAUCACCCAGUGUCCAAAUGAUCUGAUGCCACAUGUAAAAGAGAAGAGCCUUCCCCUUUGAGCCCUGCCCAGAUUGCUACUCUGCACCAAGUUUGUUCUUUACUCCCAGCCUAAUGGAUGAAAUGAAACUUGGUGAGCUCCCAGAGUUGGACAACCUUCAGAAUGCUGAGACAUACUAAAUGAAGGAAGAAAGUCCUUUUGUGAGUUCUCCAAAACUCAGACCUCCCAGUGACUACAGCAAGGUCCUGUUGUUUCAGUGAAAAGCUGUUCAACUUGGUGAACCAGACAGAGAAGAGACCCUGGGCCGUAAGAGGCUUUAAAAAAUAUUUAUCCAAUGAAUGAGGAGUGAUGGAAGUGAAGAACACUAAACUCAAUUUAGUGGUUACCACUGCAUAAAGGAGAGAAAUAAAACUGCAAGAGGAACACGAGGCACCACCUGUAUCUGCAAUAUUGUGUCACCAUAAGAAAACUCUGAUAUAAAACAUGCCAAAAUACUGAGCUCUGGCAAAAAACAAAAAGCAAACAAAUUCAGCCACAGCUAAAGGCUCUGCAUGAAUUCUGUGGUCUCUAUAGGAAGUAGUAAAAUGAUCUAUGGUACCCCAAAAGCAGUCUUCAGGGGAUUUCACAGAGCAAGUAUCAGAACAUGUUACAACUCAUUUCUAAGGAAGUUCCUCUAAACUUCCUGUCUGUACCAUAAACCAUGGUCUGCUGGUCUCCUCUUCAUUCAUUCAUUCAUUCAUCCAAGAUACUUUCUGGAUGUCCCUGUCUUCAGGAAGAAGGGCUUAAUAGUGGAAUGUUAUGUGGGCAUUGCCACUGGACAGAAACAUUCUUCUCUUUGCAUAAAGUCACAUGGGUCUAAGAUAAUAAUCUGGCCUUGUUCCUCUACAGAAUGACCUCAUUGUUGGCUCAUGAAAGAAAUGAAAUAAUACUAAUAAUUCAUGCUCUUUUAAUUUCCUACCACAAAAUAAAAUUACAAAAGCAAAAUAAAAUAGAAUAAAUAAAAAUUUUAAAAGAUUACACACGAGAAGUACUUCAAAAUGGAUUAUUAACUCAGAACAUUCCACAAACUAUUAUAUACUUCUAAAAUAAAAGCAAAUUUUUAAAAAGUCUAUAUCACAGUUUAAAACAUAGAGAUCUACUUCUUUUAUCUAAUCAAAGAACUUAUAAUGACUAUCAGGACAGGGUCUUAAGAAAAUGGCAGCUUUUAUUCUCGUUCAAUGGAAUACAGGAGCCAUUCUGUGAGGAAGCCCAAACUGGGUUGUGGAGAGGUUUAUCUGGAGAAGAAUCAACAGACAACACUAAUUUGCCAGCCAUUUGAGGAGCAGUAUUGAAAGUGGAUCCUCCAUCUCUAGGUCUUCAGUUUCAGAGGAGCUGUGACUGAGGAACCACAUUUGCACCUGGACCUGAGGACUGUGUGUACAUUUACUGAGAAGACAGAGGAUUUCCAAGCAAUACAAGAAUUCUGUCACAUAAACGAUCUGAUGGGAAACAUAUCAAAGUGGCUGGAUUGCUGGUUCUGUAUGCGUGCUGGGAAACAAUCACACUCUAACUGUAGCUGCCUAGGUCUUCUGAUGCCAUGUUACAGAUGGCCUGUGACCUGGGAGCACCCAAAGCAACAUGCUGAGACUGAAUACAACUCCCUUUACUUCACAGUUCUCAUUUCCAGGGAUAUUUGCAAGGAAAGGGGACAUCUGCAAUGUUUGACAUAACAUCUUGUCAGCCAUGUGGCUGCUUCUGCAUUUCUAGAAAAAGGAAUAUGAAUGGAGGCUGGCCAGAAGUCAAGGGAAGACAAAGGAUCCAGCUGGCUUCAGCAGCUCCUGUAAUGCAGCACAAGUCACAGUGUGGAAAAUGCAGAGAAAUGGUAAAUUACUGUAGAAAGACAGACUGCCAGGCUACCUUGAUUGCCACUGCACUGGGAUUACAUACAAACUUUAUUGCACAGGUCAUAUCGAUAAUUUACUAAAUUGAAAUUUGAGCAACAAAAGAUUAAAAACCACUUAAAAAAUAGAAAG
rnacentral:lncRNA from 10 species